rnacentral:rRNA from 1 species
UACGGAGGGUGCAAGCGUUAUCCGGAAUCAUUGGGUUUAAAGGGUCCGUAGGCGGGUCAAUAAGUCAGUGGUGAAAGUCUGCAGCUUAACUGUAGAAUUGCCAUUGAUACUGUUGACCUUGAGUAAUUAUGAAGUGGUUAGAAUAUGUAGUGUAGCGGUGAAAUGCAUAGAUAUUACAUAGAAUACCGAUUGCGAAGGCAGAUCACUAAUAAUUUACUGACGCUGAGGGACGAAAGCGUAGGUAGCGAACAGG